rnacentral:tRNA from 1 species
GUACUUGUGGCUCAGUUGGUAGAGCAUGGUGUUUGCAACGCCAGGGUUGUGGGUUCGAUUCCCACGGGGGACC